AGUCUGCGCGGCGCGGCCAGGCCCGGCCGACCGCGUCUCGGUCUCCGCGUCUGCCAGCCUGGCUGGCAGUCCGUCUGUCCAUCCCGCCGCGCCGGGGCAGUCUAGGCGGAGCGGGGGCUUAGGCGGCGGCGGCCUCGACACGAAUGAGUGUCGUGGUUGGGGUGCUGGACCCAGAGUGCCUACCCUCGCCUGCCUGGGCCUCAGUUUCCACAUCUGCACAAUGGGGGUGACCAUCCCUGCCCUGCUGGCUGCCAGGAGCGGCUGUGAGUCUUCAGGCGUGGAUGCAGCCUGGGGGAAGCCAUAGGGCGCUUUCACAGGCCUGGCCUUCACCAUGGCGGGAGGGAGACCGCAUCUGAAGAGGAGUUUCUCCAUCAUCCCCUGCUUUGUCUUCGUGGAGCUGGAGUCCUGACCUCUCUCUUCUCUCUCCGCCACCUCUCCCCGCCCUGGCUUGGUGGCAGUCGGUGCUGCUGGGCAUUGUGAUCCUGCUUGCUUACCGCCUGGAGUUCACGGACACCUUCCCUGUGCACACCCAGGGAUUCUUCUGCUAUGACAGUACCUACGCCAAGCCCUACCCAGGGCCUGAGGCUGCCAGCCGAGUGCCUCCUGCUCUUGUCUAUGCACUGGUCACUGCCGGG
rnacentral:sRNA from 1 species